CGGACCUGACUGCUAUCGGAUUGAUACUAAGCCAUGCGAGUCAUUGUAGCAAUACGAGGCAUACGGCUCAGUAACGCGUAGUCAACCUAGGCGUAUGGACGGGAAUAACCUCGGGAAACUGAGAAUAAUGCCCGAUAGAACAUUAUGCCUGGAAUGGUUUAUGUUCCAAAUGAUUUAUCGCCGUAGGAUGGGACUGCGGCCUAUCAGUUUGUUGGUGAGGUAAUGGCCCACCAAGACUAUUACAGGUACGGGCUCUGAGAGGAGUAGCCCGGAGAUGGGUACUGAGACACGGACCCGGGCCCUAUGGGGCGCAGCAGGCGAGAAAACUUUGCAAUGUG
rnacentral:rRNA from 1 species